UACAGAGGUCUCAAGCGUUGUUCGGAUUCAUUGGGCGUAAAGGGUGCGUAGGUGGCGCCGUAAGUCAGGUGUGAAAUUUCGGAGCUUAACUCCGAAACUGCAUUUGAUACUGCGGUGCUUGAGGACUGGAGAGGAGACUGGAAUUCACGGUGUAGCAGUGAAAUGCGUAGAGAUCGUGAGGAAGACCAGUGGCGAAGGCGGGGUCUCUGGACAGUUCCUGACACUGAGGCACGAAGGCCAGGGGAGCAAAACGGG
rnacentral:rRNA from 1 species